rnacentral:rRNA from 1 species
UACGUAGGGUGCAAGCGUUUAAUCGGAAUACUGGGCGUAAAGCGUGCGCAGGCGGUUUUGUAAGACCGAUGUGAAAUCCCCGGGCUUAACCUGGGAACUGCAUUGGUGACUGCAAGGCUUGAGUGUGUCAGAGGGAGGUGGAAUUCCGCGUGUAGCAGUGAAAUGCGUAGAUAUGCGGAGGAACACCGAUGGCGAAGGCAGCCUCCUGGGAUAACACUGACGCUCAUGCACGAAAGCGUGGGGAGCAAACAGG